rnacentral:rRNA from 1 species
CCUACGGGAGGCAGCAGUGGGGAAUAUUGCGCAAUGGGCGAAAGCCUGACGCAGCGACGCCGCGUGAGGGAUGAAGGUCUUCUGAUCGUAAACCUCUGUCAGCAGGGAAGAAAGGUCACUGUGCUAAUCAGCAGUGAAUUGACGGUACCUGCAAAGGAAGCAACGGCUAACUCCGUGCCAGCCGCCGCGGUAAUACGGAGGGUGCGAGCAUUAAUCGGAAUUACUGGGCGUAAAGCGCUCGUAGGCGGUAUGUCAAGUCAAGGGUGAAAUCCCCGCGCUCAACGUGGGAACUGCCUUUGAAACUGGCAAACUGGAGUGUGUGAGAGGAGAGUGGAAUUCCAGGUGUAGGAGUGAAAUCCGUAGAUAUCUGGAGGAACAUCAGUGGCGAAGGCGACUAUCUGGCACAUAACUGACGCUGAGGAGCGAAAGCGUGGGUAGCAAACAGGAUUAGAUACCCGAGUAGUC